AUUGAACGCUGGCGGCAUGCCUUACACAUGCAAGUCGAACGGCAGCACGGGAGCAAUCCUGGUGGCGAGUGGCGAACGGGUGAGUAAUGUAUCGGAACGUGCCCAGUCGUGGGGGAUAACGUAGCGAAAGCUACGCUAAUACCGCAUACGAUCUGUGGAUGAAAGCGGGGGACCGUAAGGCCUCGCGCGAUUGGAGCGGCCGAUAUCAGAUUAGGUAGUUGGUGAGGUAAAGGCCUACCAAGCCGACGAUCUGUAGCUGGUCUGAGAGGACGACCAGCCACACGGGGACUGAGACACGGCCCAGACUCCUACGGGAGGCAGCAGUGGGGAAUUUUGGACAAUGGGCGCAAGCCUGAUCCAGCAAUGCCGCGUGCAGGAUGAAGGCCUUCGGGUUGUAAACUGCUUUUGUACGGAGCGAAAAGGCUCUCUCUAAUACAGGGGGCUCAUGACGGUACCGUAAGAAUAAGCACCGGCUAACUACGUGCCAGCCGCCGCGGUAA
rnacentral:rRNA from 1 species